rnacentral:lncRNA from 13 species
CUUUUCUGUUGCCGGUUCCCAUCCAGGACCCCGUAUUAGAUCGAGUUGCUUUGUCUCCUUAGGUUCGUCUUGGCUGUGACAGUUUGUCAGAUUUUCCUUGCUUCAAGUGACCGUCAUAUAGCACUUUUGAAAGAGAUGUUUUCUCUAUCAUUUCAGGCAUUAUAUAAAGACCAGAGACAGAAAAAUUCUGCCGAGGAUGAUGUGAAAAGGCUUCAAGGAAAAUGCAGGAUUUGAGCUGGACCUUAAAGGAUGGCUUUGUAAGCAGAGAUGCUGCAGAAAGCUUCUGGGCAGAAGCGAUUGUGUUUUGCAAGGAGAAGAGGAUUUGAGUCUUGGAGAGGUCUGAAAGCUGCUGGUGCAAAUCAAACCUCUCACAGAUGAGGAAGCUCAUGUCCAAAGUGAUUUGCCUAAGGUCGCAAAGCUUCUUGUUGUUAAAACAAAGUCUCGUUUAAGCACCAAGUUACGACAGAUAUGAACUUUCAAAUAGAGGUGUCAAAUCUCCGUGUGCAGAUGUUCAUCAGGAAUUUCUGAGAAACUUGCUCUGCAACACUGCGACUCUCUCAACGACUUGGAGAAUACAAAAGGAUUAAGAGCAUGAACAAGAAAAGAUGUCCAGGGGAUAGCUGAGAAACAAGAAGAAAGGAACUUGCAUCCCUCA